rnacentral:rRNA from 1 species
GCUUCUGGUAGGACUGUCAGCUGAAACUUUCUCUGAAUCUUUAUUCUUCCCUUACAACAGUGCUUUACGACCCGAAAGCCUUCAUCACACACGCGGCGUCCCUCCUUCACACUUGCGGGCUUUGGGAAAAAUUCCCUACGGCUGCCUCCCGUAGGAGUA